rnacentral:rRNA from 1 species
CCAAUAGCGUAUAUUAAAGUUGUUGCAGUUAAAAAGCUCGUAGUUGAAUUUCGGGAUCAAUAUGUCGGUCGUGCCUUCGGUACGUACUGGUAUCAUUGGUCUCUCCUUUCUGACGAACCAUGAUGUCAUUAAUUUGGUGUUAUGGGGAGUUAGGACUGUUACUUUGAAAAAAUUAGAGUGUUUAAAGCAGGCUCACGCUUGAAUACAUUAGCAUGGAAUAACGGAAUAGGACGUUUGAUUCUAUUUUGUUGGUUUCUAGGAUCGACGUAAUGAUUAAUAGGGAUAGUUGGGGGCAUUAGUAUUCAAUUGUCAGAGGUGAAAUUCUUGGAUUUAUUGAAGACUAACUACUGCGAAAGCAUUUGCCAAGGAUGUUUUCAUUAAUCAAGAACGAAAGUUAGGGGAUCGAAGACGAUCAGAUACCGUCGUAGUCUUAACCAUAAACUAUGCCGACUAGGGAUCGGAUGAUGUUAAUUUUUUAAUGACUCAUUCGGCGCCUUACG